rnacentral:lncRNA from 1 species
UUUCGAUUUUUCCCCUCAAGGUGAUAGCAUUACGUGAUUACAUUUAAAAUUUCAACAUUAUAUCUCAGUUGGACAUACACUUUCAAAACCGGACAUAUACAUAUAUCAUACAUACAUAUAUACAUAAAUACAUACAUACAUACAUAUUACACACAAUAUAUGUUUCUUUGCAGGCAAAGAACAAUAACUGUAGAUAUAGUAGGUUAGUAUGUUUUAAAUGUCAAGUUUGCUGUAGUUAAUAUUUUGGAACCAGUAAACUCCUACGUGUAACUCUUGAAAUAAAGAGAUGGUAUGGUUGAUGAAUUAUUGAACCUUACUGUUGUCAUUCAUCAAUGUGAGUUUUCUGGUGGCCUUGCUAAUUUUUGCCUUAAAUGGCCUAUCACUAUUAUUUGCAAAAGAAAAAGUGAUGUUUAAAAAUGGUACCAUGUGUUUAAAGUGUUUCAUCCAAAAUUAUUUCAGUGUGUUUCAAAACAAAAAUAGGACAUUUAUGUGUUUUUGUCAUAUUGUUCAAAUAGAAAAUUGUCAUUCAUUGCUAAUUAUAGCUUCUCUGUAUGUAUUAGCAAGCUGCUUCAGAUUGUUUGUUACAGAAGUUAGGUAUUUAAAAAAGAGCAAGUUUAAAAAGUGUCAUUGCCAACGACACCUACAAAUGGCACUAAUAUGAAUUUUAAUUGAAUUUGUAUAACAAUUAAUAUACAUAUAUACAUCCACUUAAGUAUUUAUUUAAAUGGUCAGUUUGUUGAAUUUAAAAUGAAUUAAAUAUUUUGAUUUUUGUUAUGUGGAAGUUUACGGUGAUGAUCACCACAGUGCCAAAUGUUGUUUGUUCUGAUAAGUUGUUGAUCUUAAUGUUACAAAAAAUUGCAUUGAAAUAUUAAGUUUUUGCUUAUUGUAGAUUUAUAAUGACUGAUGAGUCAUCAUAUCUCUCCCUGUGAUUGUCCUGUGAAGGUGUUAUAAAAUACUGGCCUUUACAUUCCAAUUACAAAACAAGUGUGGAGUUAAAUAAGCAACAUGUGUAGAGCUGCUCAACAAAUUUUUGCCAUCUUGUUACAUGAUACAGAGGGCAAUAUUACAAAUUAUUCCAGUGAUGAUGUAAUUGCUUUACAAUCACUAGUUACUGGCAAAUUUUAGCCAGUAGUUGAUCAUUUUGACUUCCAUCAUAUAUUUAAUUUGCUUUCAGAAAUCAAAAUCUAAUGUUUAAUGUCAACUCUGUAUGACCCCAUUGUUUCAGAUGUAGCCUGUUUUAUAGGCACAGAGGUAUAAUCCAUAGCCUCAUCAGUCUUUUUCACUUUUUACUAACAAAGGCUUUUAAAGAUGAGAUCUGUCCUGUAGUGUAUAAUUGUAAUGACAGUUAAAAAAAAUAAUUGCCUGUUAAUAUGGGCUUUGUUUUGAAAAUGUGGUCAAAGUACUACAAAUUAGAAGUGAGAAUAUUUAUUAAAUAAAUUAAACAAAAAUGACUGAUACUUAGGCAGCAAUGUUGCAAUCAUAUGCAACAUUUAGAAUCAUGUGUGUUACAAAUUGCCAAGAUUAUUUGUUGAUAAAUAUAUUAUUUCGGAUUGUUAUCCAUUUUGACCAUAUUAUGUAUGCUCCAUAGAAUAAAAGCAUUACACAAAAAAUAACACUACAAAGAGAACUUGUAUAGAUUUUUUUCCAUUCCAUUCCGUAUAGCUGUCAUAUAGCAUUAUGUAAAACCCAUAACUGUAACAAUCCCACAUUCCAUAUUUUAAUGAACUGUUAUAGAAGUUCAUUUCUGGUGUUACUAUUUUAAUUAUUUGCAAAAUUUAUCUGUAGAUAUUGAAUUAGGAAUGUACAGUAUAUAAAAAAACAAAAAAAAAAACAAAAAUAUAUAUAUCAAAAAAAUUAAAAACUUUUUAUUGUUGUUAUAAGUAGAGCAUACAAAACUUAUGUUAGAAUAUAAAUUAAUGUUUAAUAAAAGUGACAUUUCAUUUUGAGUAUGUUUUUUCACUGAUAAGUUAUUUAAUUAAUUAAAGAAUUUAAGCACAGAAUAGCAACAGGAACCUUUUA